UACAGAGGGUGCGAGCGUUAAUCGGAAUUACUGGGCGUAAAGCGUGCGUAGACGGUCAAGUAAGUCGGGUGUGAAAGCCCCGGGCUCAACCUGGGAAUUGCAUUCGAGACUGCGUGGCUAGGGUGCGGAAGAGGGAAGCGGAAUUUCCGGUGUAGCGGUGAAAUGCGUAGAUAUCGGGAGGAACACCUGUGGCGAAGGCGGCUCUCUGGUACGUGACUGACGCUGAGACGCGAAAGCGUGGGGAGCAAACAGGG
rnacentral:rRNA from 1 species